rnacentral:tRNA from 1 species
AGCCCCUUGGCGCAAUUGGCCGCGCGUCUGACUUCUAAUCAGAAGGUUGUGGGUUCGAGCCCCACAGGGGCUG